CUAGUAAAAUUAAGCAAAAAGAACUUUAAGUUUAACUCCCCGAAACUAGGUGAGCUACUUCGAAACAGCUAUAAGAGCAAAUCCAUCUCUGUUGCAAUAGAGUGGAGUGAUUUCUAAGUAGAGGCGAUAAACCUACCGCACCAAGAGAUAGCUGGUUACUCAAAAAAAGAAUUUAAGUUCAACCUUAAGUUUUCUCAGUUUUUCAAAACAUUUAUUAAACUUAAGAGCCAUUCAAAUAAGGCACAGCUUAUUUGAAAUAGGAUACAACCUAAAACAUCGGGUAAUAUCUCUGAGAAAAAUAUUAAGUGGGCCUAAAAACAGCCAUCUUUUAAAAAACGUUAAAGUUUACUAUUUACUCUUAUUAAAUUUUUUUAUUUUUUUAAAACCCACAAAUCAUAUUGAGUAAUUCUAUAUAUUUAUAGAAGAUUUUAUGCUAGAACUAGUAACAAGAGUUAGAACUUCUCUAAAAUGUAAGCUUAAGCCACUUUAGACAACCUACUGGCAAUUAACGUAAAUGAUUUUAUUAUAGUAACAUUAACAAGAAAACUCUAAAAACAUCAACGUUAACCUUACACCAGAACAUUAUUAGAAAGAUUAAA
rnacentral:rRNA from 1 species